rnacentral:rRNA from 1 species
ACUGGGAGGGUGCGCCGAACACUGAAGAGCUAGAGUGCGGGAGAGGAGAGUGGAAUUCCUGGUGUAGCGGUGAAAUGCGUAGAUAUCAGGAGGAACACCGGCGGUGUAAACGGCUCUCUGGACCGUGACUGACGCUGAGACACGAAAGCGUGGGGAGCAAACAGGAUUAGAUACCCUGGUAGUCCACGCCCUAAACGAUGCAUAUUUGGUGUGGGUGAUUCAGUUCAUCCGUGCCGGAGCUAACGCGUUAAAUAUGCCGCCUGGGGAGUACAGUCGCAAGGCUGAAACCCAAAGGAAUUGACGGGGGCCCGCACAAGCGGUGGAGCAUGUGGUUCAAUUCGACGCAACGCGAAGAACCUUACCUGGGCUCGAACGGCCGGUUAACGGAGGUGGAAACACUUCUAUCCC